AACGCACAUUGCGCCCCUUGGUAUUCCAUGGGGCAUGCCUGUUCGAGCGUCAUUUGUACCCUCCAGCCCUGCUGGGUAUUGGGCGUUUUGUUCCGCUACGCGCGUGAACUCGCCUCAAAUGCAUUGGCAGCCCGCCGUCCCGUGUGGGAGCGCAGCACAUUUUGCGCUCUCCGCUGCUGACGGUGGCAUCCACAAGUCUACCAUUUUACGCUUGACCUCGGAUCAGGUAGGGAUACCCGCUGAACUUAA
rnacentral:misc_RNA from 1 species